rnacentral:sRNA from 1 species
CUUAUAUACGUAAUUAAGGUAGAAAUAUAUUCUACACAACACAAGAAAUACAAUUCUAUUACAUACAUAUGUAAGUCGUAAUAUUGUCUGGUUGACAGACACAAAUGCAUGUAUGUACAUAUGUAAUACAUAUGUAUGUAUAUUUCCACCAAAAUGUAAGAGUUAAGACACACAUACCAACAACUACUCAGCGCGUUAAGGAAUACUUAGAUACCCUUAUUUAUAGAAAUGACAUUGGAAAAAAUUGUAUAUAAGAAGGUUAAUAACUUACAGCACUGAUCCAUUGGUCAAAUAUCCUAUCUGUCGGGCUGCUUGCAAGUUGCAAGGUUCUUACACGAUGAUUUUAAGUUGUAUACCUCCAUAUCCAUAUCUCCAAAUUUUACAUACAUACAUAUACAUAUGUCGUAUGUAUUUUUCACAUAAUUUUUGCACGGUUUUCUAAGGAACGUAAAAAACAGAGGUACGUGUAUGUACAUACGUAUAUACAUACAUGUAUUUAAUUUUCAUUUUUAAAGCAACUGCAAUACUCAAGCCUUAUAAUUGAAUCAUGUGAAAAUGAAAAAGUAGGACAAUACUUGGGAUGGAACCAGAUGCGGAUGCAAAGUCGCCACCAAUAACAGCUCAACCAGAGAAUGAAAGACAGCAAGAAGAAAGUGGAUUGCGCAAUAUUUACGCCAUCACAUAAAGAUGGUGGCUGUACCAUAAACAACAGUGGAAUGGUGACUAUGGAGAAACUGCUGCCUCCGCAAAUGCGACAGCACGCUGUAGCGGUUGGGCCCGCAUAACUACAGGCAAAAUGUACUGAAAUGUGGGCGAGCCUAAGCGUAGCAGCCACAGAGGGCAAAGUCAAAAACUACUCAUAGUAUUGGAAUGCAAUUUCACUUUUUUAAAUAAUUUUUCAAUAACUGUGCGUUUCUUGUAAUCUUUUUGAGUACACACCAUAAUAUGUUAUAUAUACAUUGUAUGUAUUUGUUCAGAGCAUUCAUGUAAAACAUGGCUAACGAUUCUAAUUUAACUACAAAUAGCAACAAAUAAGUAAGAAUAGUGUGGUCGAGCAUGUUUGACCAUAAAAUACUCCGUGCCCCUCAGUUAACAUUAUAUUUUGGUUUUUAACACCACUUUAUAUUCGUAGAACACACAUAAUGCGAUUUUUUAUCCAAAUUUAACACUAA